CUUCCCGCGUCCACCGAUUCCUCCUCCUUGGUCGCCGCGUCCUUGGCUGGCGUCAGAAAAAUGGCUACAAACUUCCUAGCACAUGAGAAGAUCUGGUUCGACAAGUUCAAAUAUGACGACGCAGAAAGGAGAUUCUACGAGCAGAUGAACGGGCCUGUGGCAGGUGCCUCCCGCCAGGAGAACGGCGCCAGCGUGAUCCUCCGUGACAUUGCGAGAGCCAGAGAGAACAUCCAGAAAUCCCUGGCUGGAAGCUCAGGCCCCGGGGCCUCCAGCGGCCCCAGCGGAGACCACAGCGAGCUCGUCGUCCGGAUCGCCAGUCUAGAAGUGGAGAACCAGAGCCUGCGUGGCGGUGAGGCCCCGGGCCAGUGGGUUGGGGCUGUCCCUGGCCUCUGCCAUCUAACCGUGCUCCCCUUGCCCCCUAGUGGUACAGGAGCUGCAGCAGGCCAUCUCCAAGCUGGAGGCCCGGCUGAACGUGCUGGAGAAGAGCUCGCCUGGCCACCGGGCCACGACCCCGCAGACCCAGCAUGUCUCUCCCAUGCGCCAAGUGGAGCCCCCAGCCAAGAAGCCAGCCACACCAGCAGAGGAUGACGAGGAUGACGACAUUGACCUGUUUGGCAGCGACAAUGAGGAGGAGGACAAAGAGGCGGCACAGCUGCGGGAGGAGCGGCUACGGCAGUACGCGGAGAA
rnacentral:sRNA from 1 species